UGGGGAAUAUUGCACAAUGGGCGCAAGCCUGAUGCAGCCAUGCCGCGUGUAUGAAGAAGGCCUUCGGGUUGUAAAGUACUUUCAGUCGGGAGGAAGGUGGUAAGGUUAAUAACCUUAUCAAUUGACGUUACCGACAGAAGAAGCACCGGCUAACUCCGUGCCAGCAGCCGCGGUAAUACGGAGGGUGCAAGCGUUAAUCGGAAUUACUGGGCGUAAAGCGCACGCAGGCGGUUGAUUGAGUCAGAUGUGAAAUCCCCGGGCUUAACCCGGGAAAUGCAUCUGAUACUGGUCAGCUAGAGUCUUGUAGAGGGGGGUGGAAUUCCAUGUGUAGCGGUGAAAUGCGUAGAGAUGUGGAGGAAUACCGGUGGCGAAGGCGGCCCCCUGGACAAAGACUGACGCUCAGGUGCGAAAGCGUGGGGAGCAAACAGG
rnacentral:rRNA from 1 species